rnacentral:misc_RNA from 1 species
GCACUUCAUACCUAGAGCCAAGAGCUCUUUGUUUCUUCAUUGUCAAUAUGUCUGGAGAACGAGGAAGAAGCGGAUUUCCAACAUAGUAUGAAUCAUGGCUUGGACCUUUAGCUGGGGACUCAAAUGCACCAGGAGGAAGUGGCUGGAAUUCCACACCAAGCGGUGGACCAUCCUCCCGAUAUUGCACACCUAACUGUCUCUUAACAGCAGUAAUAGCAGC